rnacentral:lncRNA from 1 species
ACACAUUACCCAUUGCCAUUGCUUAAGUUGCUUUAAUUAUUUUUUUUUCCUCUUUAAUUUGAUACCUUUUCCCAGGAUAGAGUUCCUUGAUAAUCUCAUCUCAUUUAUGUUAUAAGACUUAGGGAUUGUAAUAAUUUAUUGUUGUUCUCCAGAAAAUCCACCACUCCCAUAAGAUUUUGAUUGUUAUUUACCCAUUUUACAUUUCAAUUGCCAAUUUUAUGAUUUUAUCAUGACUUGAUUCCAUGGUAUCAACAUCUUAGUAUUUUAAUAUUUGAUUUGUAAGCUUGUCUUGUUUUUUAUUACUAGGAUGAUUGACCCUCUUGGAUCCAAAGUAUUUGAACCUAAUUUUUAUUUUUAUUUUAUUUUCUAGGAAAUAUUAGUUGAUAUCUACAAAUAUUAGGUGAUUAUAAGCAGUGACUAAGACAAUGAGAAACAUAUAAGUUGUUUCACAACAAUCAUUACAUACUAACAUUGAUAACUUAUCAAAUUAGUCUAUGUCUUAAAGUUUAACCCUACAAGAGAAAAUGUGUGCAAAGAGAUAAAACAUGAAAGAAAAAAAAAAGAUCAAUGUGAGUAUCAAAAUAAAAUAAGAUAUAUACAUCCUAUAAAAGUUUUUGCACAUGACCCAAUUUUAAAAAACAGUUUUUUGCACAUGACACAUAUCUAUCCAUGUCAUACUCAAUUAAUAUUCCAUAUGUGUUAAGAAUGGUGGGAGCAUUUCAGUUGACUUGACAUACACAUAUAACACAUAUGUCAUUCUUGUUGAUUCCCAAACUGUCUUUUUAUUUCAGAACGCCUAUGAGUGGCAACCCUAACACCUCUUUUGUCCCAUCAUGAGUCACAAGAAGAUGAGGGUUUAAACUUUGAAAUAACUAGUAGUAGCAAGAUCGUGUACAGUGAGGUGAUGAGUUAAUAAUAUUUCAUUCAUGAGAAUUGAAUUUGCCUGUACACUCAUAUAGGAUUUUGUUUGAAAAAAGUAUGUGGACAUUGUACUGAGUAUAAAUGUUGUAGUUUUUCACCUUACACUGCUACUAGUAAUGUUUUCUAGAAACUAGUUUGGAUUUUGAUGGGCCUAUCAUUGUAGAGAAGUGGCCGAUAACUAUAUUAGACCUCAAGGUAUAUAUAUAUAUAUAUAUAUAUAUAUUAGUUGCUGGGCAUACAAGCAUAUGUUUGAGUAAGCACAUUAAUACUACUACAUGCUGCUAAGAUACAUUAGGUCAUUGUUCCUUUUUUUCCCUAAUUUAAAUGUGUUUUUCUUAGUCAUUUAAUCUUAAAAAAUGUUUGUUGGACUUUUUUAUUAUUAUUUCGGGCAAUUUGGAUGCACAAUUUGUGGUAUUUUUUUUUUAUUAUGAGAGGAACUAAAAAUAAUAUUUUUCAAGAUGGAGUGAUAAUAGAAGCAAAUUUUAAUUUGAGGGACAAAAAAAAACACUGAUUUAAGAUUGAGAGAAACCUGACAUAUUUAAAUCUAUAAAAUAAUUUUCAACCCUUAAAGACUUUAUAUACGGUUUUAUAAAUAUUAAGUCCUCAAAUAUUAAGAAUAAUUUAAAAAUAGAUAUCUGCCUCCACUACCUAUGUUUAGCUAAAAAAAACUACAUGGAUAGUGUCUCCUUGAAGUGUAAUCUAUGUUAUCCUAUGUAGUGUUACCUAUGUAUACAUGUUGCGUGUGCAUGAAACAAAGCUUAAAAAUCAUGCUAUUUAAUUAAAAAAAUAUUUUAAAGUUUUUUCUAGCAUAGUGUAUUUUUAAAGAAAUAUAAUACCAGCAUUCACAAAUUUGGUAUUAUUUCAUGACCUUUCAAGGGAUUGUGUGUUUCCCUAAUCUAAACUUUCACCUACUAUAAAAAAUAACAUAGUUUUAUAACAAGGAUUAGCACAUUU